AUGUCGUCGCCCUCGCAGGUUCUCAAUCUGUUGCAUCUCUGUUCUCCUCGUCAAGGGGAGGGGAGGCGGCCAAUGACAGGGAGAAGCAGCAGGCCGUCGAGGAGUGCAAGCAGAAGGGGAAGCUUCUGGACGGGAUUUAGACAAGGAAACAGAGACCCGUGCGAAAUCGAGCAUCCUGGUAGUGCCUCGACCAAAGCGGGUCGACGGAUAGCACCGGUGAGCACGGAGCAUGGUGCAGCGAGUUGGAUAGGCAGCAAGAGAGGUGACCACGGGUGUGGCUUGGGGAGCUCCGCACACAUGAAGUGA
rnacentral:rRNA from 1 species